rnacentral:rRNA from 1 species
GUCGCAAGACCAAAGAGGGGGACCUUCGGGCCUCUUGCCAUCAGAUGUGCCCAGAUGGGAUUAGCUUGUUGGUGAGGUAACGGCUCACCAAGGCGACGAUCCCUAGCUGGUCUGAGAGGAUGACCAGCCACACUGGAACUGAGACACGGUCCAGACUCCUACGGGAGGCAGCAGUGGGGAAUAUUGCACAAUGGGCGCAAGCCUGAUGCAGCCAUGCCGCGUGUAUGAAGAAGGCCUUCGGGUUGUAAAGUACUUUCAGCGGGGAGGAAGGUGUUGUGGUUAAUAACCGCAGCAAUUGACGUUACCCGCAGAAGAAGCACCGGCUAACUCCGUGCCAGCAGCCGCGGUAAUACGGAGGGUGCAAGCGUUAAUCGGAAUUACUGGGCGUAAAGCGCACGCAGGCGGUCUGUCAAGUCGGAUGUGAAAUCCCCGGGCUCAACCUGGGAACUGCAUUCGAAACUGGCAGGCUUGAGUCUUGUAGAGGGGGGUAGAAUUCCAGGUGUAGCGGUGAAAUGCGUAGAGAUCUGGAGGAAUACCGGUGGCGAAGGCGGCCCCCUGGACAAAGACUGACGCUCAGGUGCGAAAGCGUGGGGAGCAAACAGGAUUAGAUACCCUGGUAGUCCACGCCGUAAACGAUGUCUACUUGGAGGUUGUGCCCUUGAGGCGUGGCUUCCGGAGCUAACGCGUUAAGUAGACCGCCUGGGGAGUACGGCCGCAAGGUUAAAACUCAAAUGAAUUGACGGGGGCCCGCACAAGCGGUGGAGCAUGUGGUUUAAUUCGAUGCAACGCGAAGAACCUUACCUGGUCUUGACAUCCACGGAAGUUUUCAGAGAUGAGAAUGUGCCUUCGGGAACCGUGAGACAGGUGCUGCAUGGCUGUCGUCAGCUCGUGUUGUGAAAUGUUGGGUUAAGUCCCGCAACGAGCGCAACCCUUAUCCUUUGUUGCCAGCGGUCCGGCCGGGAACUCAAAGGAGACUGCCAGUGAUAAACUGGAGGAAGGUGGGGAUGACGUCAAGUCAUCAUGGCCCUUACGACCAGGGCUACACACGUGCUACAAUGGCGCAUACAAAGAGAAGCGACCUCGCGAGAGCAAGCGGACCUCAUAAAGUGCGUCGUAGUCCGGAUUGGAGUCUGCAACUCGACUCCAUGAAGUCGGAAUCGCUAGUAAUCGUGGAUCAGAAUGCCACGGUGAAUACGUUCCCGGGCCUUGUACACACCGCCCGUCACACCAUGGGAGUGGGUUGCAAAAGAAGUAGGUAGCUUAACCUUCGGGAGGGCGCUUACCACUUUGUGAUUCAUGACUGGGGUGAAGUCGUAACAAGGUAACCGUAGGGGAACCUGCGGUUGGAUCACCUCCUUACCUUAAAGAA